rnacentral:pre_miRNA from 1 species
AAUGGCAUUGCUGAGUUGCAUGGUAAAUUUAUGUUUACCUUUUUAAGUAACUGUCAAUUUGCUUUACAAAGUGGCUACACUGUUUAACAUUUUCACUUAGCAGU